rnacentral:misc_RNA from 1 species
AACGCACGAGACCUGCGGACCUGCGGAGGGAUCAUUAGUGAACGCCCUCGCGGGCUUAUAACUAUUCCAAACCUCUGUGAACCGUGCCCUUCGGGGCUAUUUUACAAACAUGGUGUAGUGAACGUCAUAUAUCAUAACAAAACAAAACUUUUAACAAUGGAUCUCU